UACGGAGGGUGCGAGCGUUGUCCGGAAUCACUGGGCGUAAAGGGCGCGUAGGUGGCGACCCAAGUCGAUGGUGAAAGCUCGCCGCUCAACGGCGAGUCGGCCACUGAUACUGGGUUGCUGGAGCACUGUAGAGGCAGAUGGAAUUCCGGGUGUAGCGGUGGAAUGCGUAGAGAUCCGGAAGAACACCAGUGGCGAAGGCGGCCCGCUGGGCAGUGGCUGACGCUGAGGCGCGACAGCGUGGGGAGCAAACAGG
rnacentral:rRNA from 1 species